GAUCCGAAUCAUCAAAUAAUUUAUUCUCCUUCUGAACAAGCAAAGGAAUAAUGUCUUUCACAGUUCCUGCGCUUUUGAUGAAUGGGUGUUGAAGGAGUUCUUUAGCUGACCAUCGCAUAUUAGGAUUGAGAUCUAAGCAGCAGGACACAAAAUCACGGAAUGUUGGACUGAAAUGAUCAUCUAGCUUUGGAGGCUCGGAUUGAGGAAUUUCAAAGAUGACACGCAUUGGAUGCAUUGUAGCGCGGGGCGGAAUUCCGUUAGCCAUUUCAAUAGCCGUAAUUCCAAGAGACCAAAUGUCAGCAGCUAAACCAUAACUUGUUUGUUGUAUUACUUCCGGUGCCAUCCAAAAUGGCGUUCCAACAAACGUGUGUCUACGC